UACUCUCUUCCUUCUGCUC
rnacentral:snRNA from 1 species